rnacentral:rRNA from 1 species
UACGAAGGGGGCUAGCGUUGCUCGGAAUCACUGGGCGUAAAGCGCACGUAGGCGGAUCUUUAAGUCAGGGGUGAAAUCCUGGAGCUCAACUCCAGAACUGCCUUUGAUACUGGGGAUCUCGAGUCCGGGAGAGGUGAGUGGAACUGCGAGUGUAGAGGUGAAAUUCGUAGAUAUUCGCAAGAACACCGGUGGCGAAGGCGGCUCACUGGCCCGGUACUGACGCUGAGGUGCGAAAGCGUGGGGAGCAAACAGG